UACGGGGGGGGGCAAGCGUUGUUCGGAAUUACUGGGCGUAAAGGGCUCGUAGGCGGCCAACUAAGUCAGACGUGAAAUCCCUCGGCUUAACCGGGGGAACUGCGUCUGAUACUGGAUGGCUUGAGUGUGGGAGAGGGGAUGCGGAAUUCCAGGUGUAGCGGUGAAAUGCGUAGAUAUCUGGAGGAACACCGGUGGCGAAGGCGGCAUCCUGGACCAUUACUGACGCUGAGGAGCGAAAGCCAGGGGAGCAAACGGG
rnacentral:rRNA from 1 species